rnacentral:lncRNA from 1 species
CUGUGUCGCCGAGGCCACCCGGCGUCCGGCGUCCGCUGGGCAGCGAUCGCUUCUCGUGCGGUCCGGCCCGUCAUCACUGUCCCGGCCCUCUCUGCCCAGCCUCGGGUCCUGGCCUCGGAGGGUCACAGGGACCCGUUGGAGAUAUUGGAGUUAUGACAAGUCCCCUCUCCUUCUCCAUCCCCCCUGGGUUAGGUCCCGACCUCCAAGUGCCAUCGUGCACGCCGCCUCCUCCGGGAAGCCUUCCGAGAGCCCCGGCGGCCCGACUCCCGGGCCCUCCGCGCUGUUCUCUCGGCCUGGGAGCAUCGUUACUUGGGGAUGUUUCUCCUGGAGGGCCUGCGCGGGGGCCCCUCCCCAGCAAGGGCCGCAGGCUCUUUGGGGGUCCAUCGAGGCGAAGUAAAGAACAGAAGUUGGCCAGAACCAUCUCCCGCCACCCACCCUCAACUGACGGAGGAGAUGCAGACCGGGAGGCCCCUGCCAAGGCCCGCAGUCCCCUGCGAGGAGCGUGGGCUGGGAAGCCUGGAAGCGUCCUCUGGCCUCUCCGAACCUCCACCCGUGCCGGUGCGGAUGGGGACCGGUGACUGGCCUGGACCCCUUCCAAUGGUCGAGGUGGUGAGGUGGGAUUGAUGCUCCUUAGAAAGCAUCCAAGGGAGGAUCAUUUGUGCCCAGUAUUUAACCUUAGCAUCAAACGUGGGGAAACAAGGGGCCGGCGCGCUGGCAUAGCGGAUAAGUUUGCGGACUCCGCUUUGACGGCCGGGCUUGGCCAGCAUGGACCCCAGGCGCGGACCUACGCACCGCUUAUGAAACCAUGCACUGUCAGGCGUCCCACGUAUAAAGUAGAGGAAGAUGGGCACAGAUGUUCGCUCAGGGCCAGUCUUCCUCAAAAAAAAAAAAAGGGGGAAAUGCACCAAGACGUGCACACAGCAAAGCUUCGGAAAACAGACUCCUCUACAAAACAUGGUGCAUGGAAUUGAGCUUUACUGGUUUGUCUUGUUAUGGCCUCUCUCCCCCUCUAGAAAGUCAGC